CCGGCACGGGUGAGUAACACGUAUCCAACCUGCCGAUAACUCGGGGAUAGCCUUUCGAAAGAAAGAUUAAUACAAGAUGGCAUCAUGAGUCCGCAUGUUCACAUGAUUAAAGGUAUUCCGGUAGACGAUGGGGAUGCGUUCCAUUAGAUAGUAGGCGGGGUAACGGCCCACCUAGUCUUCGAUGGAUAGGGGUUCUGAGAGGAAGGUCCCCCACAUUGGAACUGAGACACGGUCCAA
rnacentral:rRNA from 1 species